rnacentral:rRNA from 1 species
CCUACGGGGGGCUGCAGUGGGGAAUAUUGGACAAUGGGCGAAAGCCUGAUCCAGCCAUGCCGCGUGUGUGAAGAAGGCCUUCGGGUUGUAAAGCACUUUCAGUGGGGAAGAAAGCCUUGGGGCUAAUACCCUCGAGGAAGGACAUCACCCACAGAAGAAGCACCGGCUAACUCCGUGCCAGCAGCCGCGGUAAUACGGAGGGUGCGAGCGUUGAUCGGAAUUACUGGGCGUAAAGCGCGCGUAGGCGGUCUGAUAAGCCGGUUGUGAAAGCCCCGGGCUCAACCUGGGAACGGCAUCCGGAACUGUCAGGCUAGAGUGCAGGAGAGGAAGGUAGAAUCCCCGGUGUAGCGGUGAAAUGCGUAGAGAUCGGGAGGAAUACCAGUGGCGAAGGCGGCCUUCUGGACUGACACUGACGCUGAGGUGCGAAAGCGUGGGUAGCAAACAGGAUUAGAUACCCGUGUAGUC